GAAAAACAUGAACUUGUUGGAUCCCUUUGCUGUAGUUUGCGUUUGGGGAAUAACAAUGCUGGUAUCCUUGCGCUAUUAGCACUUUAGGUUUUUUUUUUAAAAAGCAUAAUAUUGGACUUAUUGAAGAAGUUGAAAGUAUAAGCGAAAUGAGUCAAGUUGGGAAUAGCUGCAUCUUCGCAGCAGCCCUAUAUGGAGUUACACUUGUUAUUUGCUUUGGUCUUAAAUACUUAAAAUAUAGAAAACGGCAAAGUUAUGACCAUCCUUUUCAACUUUCGGAUAGGGCGGAGUACGAGCCACUCACUGAUAUAAGGGAAGAUCAUGGAGGAUUGACGACUUAAAAAUUUUUUUUUUAAGUUAAAAAAUGGAA